rnacentral:rRNA from 1 species
UACGAAGGGAGCUAGCGUUGUUCGGAUUUACUGGGCGUAAAGGGCGCGUAGGCGGUCAGCACAAGUCAGUUGUGAAAUCUCCGGGCUUAACUCGGAAAGGUCAACUGAUACUGUGCGACUAGAGUGCGGAAGGGGCAACUGGAAUUCUCGGUGUAGCGGUGAAAUGCGUAGAUAUCGAGAGGAACACCUGCGGCGAAGGCGGGUUGCUGGGCCGACACUGACGCUGAUGCGCGAAAGCCAGGGGAGCGAACGGG